GAUGGUUACCCACUCGUCGAUGCUUGCUCAAAGUUACUGUGGUGUAGAUAGUUCUCUGAUCUGUAGUGCCUCAGCUAUUCAUAGUUGGGAUACUGUAAUUUGACUGUAUAAUCACUUGGUUACCUAGCCAUUCAAAACCUUAUGGUGUAUGUUGGCUACAGUAGAUCCAUUGUAGGAAUAGAGUGUGUACCAAGAUGAGAUCUGUCGAUCCUAAUAGAUAAGG
rnacentral:lncRNA from 1 species